AGGUUCUUUCUGAGAAAAGUUUUCAUGGUGUGGGAAUAAGACUUGGUGGUCUAAUACAGCUAAUACAAAGGUUAGCAUCACAGCUUGUCUGUAAGGAUUGAAGCUGGGAGUGGGCAUUGGAGCUGACUUUUAUGAUAACUGUGGCUGCAUAAAAUGGUUGUGUGAUAUAACUGCAACAGUAAAGAAUGUAAUUCAGACUAUAUUUGUGUAUGCUUGAGAAAAUGUUUAUAAUUUUUUUACAAAAAAAAAAAAAAAAAAAUAUGUAAAGAUUCUCCAUUUUCAACAAGAUUGGAAGUUAUAGGUUAACUUGUAUUUGACUUAUCAAAAAUUCUUUCUAUUAUCCGUUUAUACUCAUGUCUAGUCAAAACACUUCCAGCAGUUUAAGAAUGGAUAAUCUAAAAGAAAAAGAAAGAAAAAAGAAAAAAAAAUGUUCAAUUAUUGAAAUGUAUUGUUUUUUUGCAAAUUGUAAUGUAUAUAUUUUUGCCAUCUUUUUGUUAUUUUAGGAUUUGAGAUACUUUCAAAUUUUACAAGUUACUUUAUACAUGUAGUUAAUGCAAUUAAAUCUGCCGAUGUGAAUAUUCCCACUAAAUUUCUUAGCAAAAAUUUUUAAUUAUUUUUGUUUUUUUUUAGCAACGUUUCAAAAUACCUUACCAUAGCACAUACACAUCUAGUGUAAACUAAAAAGAUGAAUAAUGGUCUGCAGUAAAUAUAUCCCCUUACAACCUUUUCUUUCAUGUUAAUUUUAAUAUCUUUAAGAUAUGUGACAAGGGUGCUCUAAUGCAGAGGAAUUUACGAAGUUAAGAAGUUAGAAAUAUAUUUUUUGCACUUUUUUUGUCAUUUUUAGCUGAUUUUGGUUUGUAACCAAGGUGAUAUUUUUUAAAGAAUAAUUUUACAAAAGGCAUAGUUGAAGAACAUCUUGUUGAAAUUGGAUUGGUUGAUUUUUGGUGUUAAACACCACUUUUACAUGAUUUACUAUAAUUUUGGCUGUAAAUUUUUAUUUGUGGAGACAACCAGAGUGCCUGGUGAAAACAUCACCUUCAUCAGGGAAACAGGCAAACCUUAGUCAAAUUAAGAAUAAAGUUACACAUUUCAUGUGCGGGUUCUCAGUGUUGACAGGCUAGUGAUACAGUAGUUGAACUACUUAUAGGACCACUCUGCCACCAUACAAGUUGAUCAGUACAAAAUAUUUUAUUGAAAUGUGUUAGAUUUUUGUUAUCAAUCUAUUUUUUAAUUUUAAUGGUACUAUUUUAUUUAUUUUGUUUAAUAUAACAAGGAUGUGGAGUCAGAACAGGGUGAAAUUUGGGUCAAAAGUAGUAAAUUUAUUAUACCCCUGUUUAACUCCACAUACUUUAAAUUCCCUCAAUGUUAGGAUUUUCAUCUACUUGGAUAUUCAUGUUUGUACAUUUUUUUUUAAUAUCAGAUGUAUACUAGCUAAUAUUGACUAUUAUUUAGAGCUCUGUAAUAAAAAUAAAUAAAUGUAAGCAGAGCUCUAGAUAAUAAGUAUGCAGGGUGGGAGAAAUCUUGGGUCAUUAACAAUUGAUUUGCUGAAAUUUUCAAGAAAGGGGAUUUAUUGGAAAUGCAUCUGAUAUAUUUAAUGUAUAAAACUAUAUUUAAAAAAAAAAGAUGUUAAGAUGAUGAGGAGAGGCACCUUGUCAGCCGGGAGAGCAGCUCUAAGGGAGAUGGUCAAUUUAAUCUUCACCAAGUCGGAGGCUUUACCAUGAAAAAUAUGUGGUUGUUAUAAUGAUGAUGUUUUCAUGGUGUUGGGAGUAAGACUUGGAUGUCUGAAAUUGUUAACAUGUUGGUUAGCAUCAGAUUUCCAUUGGGUUACUUGCUGGGAUAAAGCUAUUAUAAGUCGAAAGAGUUGCUGUUGCUGCCUUCCUUGUAUGGUAAAAUCCUCAGACUACAAUCCUGCAAACCAUUAGAUGAACUGUU